GACCAAAGUGGCGUUCAGUGCCGUAGUUGGAGAAUCAGAAACCGUUGGACCUUUUGAUACCGACACAAACUUAAUCUACAAAACUGUUCUAACAAAUGUGGGUCAUUUCUACAACAAGGUUACGGGGAUUUUCACUGCACCUGUCGCAGGUAUUUACUUCUUCAGCUUCUUCUAUCAUGACGGAUGGGAACAUAGAACAAUGCUGAGUCUCUUCAAGAAUGACGAGCUAGUUGCCAUGACCCACGAUUUCCCAUCGCACCCCAAUGACCUCGCUGACAACGGAGGGAACGCCGUGUUCCUGGAGUUGCAGCCGGGGGACCAGGUUUAUCUCAAA